UACGGGGGGAGCAAGCGUUGUUCGGAUUUACUGGGCGUAAAGGGCGCGUAGGCGGUCGUGACAAGUCACUUGUGAAAUCUCCGGGCUUAACUCGGAACGGUCAAGUGAUACUGUCGGACUAGAGUACAGAAGGGGCAACUGGAAUUCCCGGUGUAGCGGUGAAAUGCGCAGAUAUCAGGAGGAACACCGAUGGCGAAGGCAGGUCUCUGGGCUGUAACUGACGCUGAGGAGCGAAAGCAUGGGGAGCGAACAGG
rnacentral:rRNA from 1 species